rnacentral:rRNA from 1 species
UACGGAGGGGGUUAGCGUUGUUCGGAAUUACUGGGCGUAAAGCGCGCGUAGGCGGACUAUUAAGUCAGAGGUGAAAGCCCGGGGCUCAACCCCGGAAUUGCCUUUGAGACUGGUGUGCUUGAGUACGGAAGAGGUGAGUGGAAUUCCCAGUGUAGAGGUGAAAUUCGUAGAUAUUGGGAAGAACACCAGUGGCGAAGGCGGCUCACUGGUCCGUAACUGACGCUGAGGUGCGAAAAGCGUGGGGGAGCAAAACAGGAUUAGAUACCCCUGUAGUCC